GACGAACGCUAGCAGCGUGCCUAAUACAUGCAAGUCUAACGCAGUGGGGACGGGUGAGUAACACGUGGGUAACCUCCCAUCAGAGGGGAUAACACUUGGACACAGGUGCUAACCCGAUACCGAUGGAUUAACCCGCGGUGCAUUAGCUAGUUGGUGGGGUAACGGCUCACCAAGGCCACGAUGCCUAGCCGACCUGAGAGGGUGAUCGGCCACACUGGGACUGAGACACGGCCCAGACUCCUACGGGAGGCAGCAGUAGGGAAUCUUCGGGAAUGGACGAAAGUCGGACCGAGCUACGCCGCGUGAGUGAAGAAGGUUUUCGGAUCGUAAAACUCUGUUGUUAGAGAAGCGGUAUCUAACCAGAAAGCCACGGCUAACGACGUGCCAGCAGCCGCGGUAAUAC
rnacentral:rRNA from 1 species